AGACAGCAGUGAGGACGGAACCCAGCGCUUCGGAGACGGUUGCGGGGACAAGGCCUUAGGGCCAGGGAAGGAACAGCGAUGGAAGGCCCUUGGACCCAUUUAAAGAAACGUAUCCUAUUAUCCAGAAACUGGGAUCCGGGCAAACUUCCCGCGCCCAGAAGGGUCCUAAUCUCCGGCUCGGAAAGAUGACGCAAGCAGCGCGCGAGUACGUGCCAAAAUACGACUGCCCCGCCCCCGCCGGUGCAUUGUGGGGGGUUAAAGGCACCAACCGGAUACCGGUCUCGCGAGCGAGCGAGAUUCACGCGGAUGACAGAGAUUGGGUGGGGAGGAAAGGCGAGGCUUCUACUCUCCGAACAAGAGUCCCGCCCCCCGGCUGGGAUGGGCCAAUCCCAAGGCCUCCCGCUCCUGGCCCUGCGGAUUGGUCCGAGGGCUCACAUGGUUAAGGGGGCCAUGGGGCACUGGACCGAGCCGAGUCCCGGGCACUUGACCGAGGCGGCGACGGUGUCUUUGUACAGUGGUGAAGGGCCGGAGAGACCUAGAGUCAGAAGCUCGCGGGCUACCGGCCGGUCUCGGCCUCCGCACGCGGCCGUGGGCAAGUCGAGUUCGAACACUUGCUGAGUAAAGAACCCGCCUUAAAGCGGUGCGGGGUCAGUGUCGUAGAUGGGGAGACUUUGCCGAGGCCGGACAGCCUGGAGUGAAGGAGCCAGGGUUGGACCCAGGCAUCAACCUGCUCAACCCGCAGGCCUUCCAGCAGUGGCUCCUGCACCCCGAGGGGGCCUGUGCAGCGCCUCCAGAAGGGACUCGGCCCUCGUCCAUGAGACCCACCUGUCACUCGUGUCCCCUCUGCUUCCAUCAUCAGCCUCAGUGUCUGGAAAACAUUUACAGGCCUGUGGUGUUCUGAGAGCAUAAUUAGGAUGCUGGAGCCACGGCCCAGAGUUGCAAGUUUCACUGUACAGGAUGGGGCCUGACCCUGAGCAGUCUAGGCAUGGCCACAUCAGGAUCCUUUUCCCCAGAACCAAAGGCACCCACCGCCCGUUAGGAUGUCUGGCCCUCAAGAGGAGGGGCUCUCUGACACAUGAGAUCAUCACAACGGACCCUGCUUCACUUUCUAUUAUUAGACUAUAUUAAGAAAAAGAAAAGGGACUUCCCUGAUAGUCCAGUGAUUAAGACUCCGAGCUUCCACUGCAGGGGCACAGGUUCGAUCCUUGGUCGGGGAACGAAGAUCCCGCAUGCCCCGCAACGUGUCAAUCAAUCAAUCAGUUUUAGAUUUACUGAAAAGUUAAGAGUAGGGAGUGCCCUUAUUACAGCCUCCCACAUACACACAUAGACGGGCACACACACCAUUUCCUUUAUUGUUAACAUCUUGCAUUAGUUGUACAUUUGCUACAAUUGAUGAGAUGAUAUUGAUACAUUAUUAUUAACUAGAGUCCAUAGUUUGUUCAGAGUUUCUUAGUUUUUCCCCAGUGUGUUUCUUCUGUGUCAGGAUCCCAUCAAGGAUACUGUGUCACAUGUAAUUGUCCACCUCACUUUCUCAUUCUGAAGGUGCAGUAUUGAGAGAGGUUAAAGAAGCACGUAAUUGCUUAACUUGUUCUUGGCUUUAAGUCUGAGAAAAUGCUAGGGAAGAGGCUGCUGCUGGGGGCUGCGUUUUGGUGUUGUGUCUGGCGGGUGCCAGCCAAGUGGGGCACUGGGUCCUGGGGGAGGGCGGGGCCCUGAGGAGGGGCUUCCCUCCAGAACGACCCUUCUCAGAGCGGCCCCUCGGGUUGGGGUGAUGGGAAGUUAUGUUUAGAGGAUUGAAAAUUUCUGUUUGGGGUGAUGAAAACAUUCUGGACAUGGAUAGUGGUGACGGUUACACAAAUUUGCUUAAUACCACUGACUGUACACUUUAAAA